UUAAAUCCCCCUUCUGAAACCUCUCAAGAACCCUAGUCACUGCCAUCUAACCCCACCCUAAUCCACCUCAACCAUUGUCUAAUCUAUAGCCUCCCACUGUCAUUUGAGAUAUGUAUCAGCCUCCUAUGGCUCCUUGGUGUUUUUUAUGUGGUUUCAUCGCCAGACCUCAUGGGAAUAUGGUCUAGUCCUUGCUUAACUUUAGUUCAUGGCUUUUCUCCGGUCAUCUGUGACCUUUCUCCGACCAUUCGUGCUUGUUCAAGGUAGAUCCUUGACUUUCCGAGUUAGAUCAGAAACUUUUAAAGCCUUUCUCACCUCUUCUGGGUUUUUUGAAAUCCUAAUAUUUAAGAUCUUUUGAUUUUUCUCUCAGAUCUACCAUAGAUCUAUGUUUACUAUGAAUAACUUAAGUGUUUUCUCAAAAGUUCUUCAACUUUUCUUUCAAAACAACUCUUCAAUCGGGCUUUCCUUUAAGUUUUUUAAAAGAUCUAUUCUCCAAUUUUAAUGUUGUUUGUGAUUUUGCUAUCUUUUGAUCGUGUUGUUCUUCUAUCUGAUUCAGCAUGUUGAAAAUCCUAAUUCUAUUUUGGUCAUCCGAGUUUUGGAAUUGUUUGUUUAUGUGUGUACUGGUUCGAUUAAGUUCUCUGUUCUUGUUUGACUUAUUUGAUUCCGAGUUGAACCAUCGAUUAAAAAGUUCUUUGUUUCAGACUCUCUUUUCUUUGUGUGACUUAUCUGAUUCUGAGCUUUACUAUCUUUUAACAUAAUUGUUUUUGAAGCCCUAAUUUCUUGAAAGGUUUACCUCACUUGAUACUGUGAGAAUUUUACUUGCUACUGAUUCUCUUUAUCUAUUGCUAUGUUUUCUUCACAGUUGAUUCUAUGUGACUACCUGACAUACUUGACUACUGUGCUUUGAAUAUUUUUCUUACUACUGAAUCCUAGCAUAUUCUUCUCUGCUACUAUUGUAUGUUGUUUCUUUUGCCAAAAUGUUUGGCCUCGCAUGUUUGAUGCUUAUGUUCACUCUAUUUAUAGAUUGAAGUGCAGAAUCAUGUUUCUUUCUUGAUUAAUCUCGAUCUGGUGACUGAUUGCAAAAGUUUUUGUUUUAUGAACCCUAAUUUCACUCGCCAGUUUAAAUUUAAUUGAUUCUUUUCCCUUAACUAUGAUGUUUUACCUUGCUGGAUCUUUUCCCAAAAUAAGCAUAUUUUGUACUUAGACUUGAUUAUUCACUUCAUUAUUUUAUUACCCCUUACAUGGCAAUAAUCAAUCUGUCCCCAAACUAAUUUUCUUUCCUUAAUUGAACCUGCUACUACCCGUUAAUCAGUGAUUCCUUAAUUAAAGGGAGUCAUUUGGAUUAAUUGAUUCUGACUUGUGAUUGUUUCCAUGUUUGUAUUAAGACUUUUCUAAUUACCUAUCCUUCAUUCGUUUUCAAAAGCUAUAAAUACACACCCCUCUUAUUUCAAACACACGAACCAUUUUGAGUUCAGAACACACACUUCACUCAAAACUCUCUCUUUUCUCUAUUACUACUUGUGCUACUGCUUUGUCUAGUCGGUUUAAAGCCAAGGAUAGGCUGCCUUUCUGCACUUUUUCUCUUUACUGGUAUGUCCUAUUUAAUUUUCAAGCAUCAACAACAAUCUGUUUCUCUAAUUGUUCGAACUUCUCUCAUGCUUGUCUACUUUUGGUCAUGUUUCUGCAAUCAAGUUACAUCGUUAGCAUGUUGAAAUGUGUUCCCUUCCCUUUUUGGAUUAAUGCUCUCCUAUGUGUAUGAAUCCCAAACCCCACAUCUCCUCUUAGUGUUUAUGUUCUCUCACUGUUUUGCGGACAUCCCAGCAUCACCUAUUGCUGGGCAUAUCAAAGUAUGACCCUUCCUAUGUCAUAUGCUUCAUGCAAUGUAUUUCCCAAACCCCUGACCCCUUUGUGCAACUACUGAUUCUGUGUAGUUUGAGUUUUACUACUAUUGUUUUCAAAUCAUCCUUACCACUUACUAUUUCCCAGUCCAGUUUUAAAUAAAUUUCUAUGUUCUGCACUUCCACUAUAUUCCUAGAACCUAGGUUCUGCCCCUCUUUUGUGAGCCUUGCCUUGGGACCCUUGAGCUCCAUCUGAACUUGGAAACGUAAGGGUUGGCCCUUCCACACUGCACUCAUCUCUAUUUGCUUAUGCAAACCUGGGUGUAAGCACUACCCGUGGUCCCUUGAGACCCUUAGGGAACUUUCACACACCCAGGUAUGAGAAAGGCUUUGAACAUCGUUGGAGUUUUAGGUAGUUUAUUCCAUAACUCGGAGAGGAAGUCAAGAUUCAGGCUUCCUAAGGUAACUUCUUAUUUUUCUGAUGUACUUCAGUCUCUUGGUCUGUAAUAACUUGUAAUAAAUAUUGGGGCCUAGCUAGUGAAAAGGGAUGGGU
rnacentral:lncRNA from 1 species